UCGAGUGGCGAACGGGUGAGUAACGCGUGAGGAACCUGCCUCAAAGAGGGGGACAACAGUUGGAAACGACUGCUAAUACCGCAUAAGCCCACGGCUCGGCAUCGAGCAGAGGGAAAAGGAGCAAUCCGCUUUGAGAUGGCCUCGCGUCCGAUUAGCUAGUUGGUGAGGUAACGGCCCACCAAGGCGACGAUCGGUAGCCGGACUGAGAGGUUGAACGGCCACAUUGGGACUGAGACACGGCCCAGACUCC
rnacentral:rRNA from 1 species